CCCGAAUCUUGAAGAGCUACUAUUUUAUUUUUUUAUUGUAUCAUAAAUAUUGUUAAUGGGAUAGUAGAAAUGAAACGUUAUUCGUUUCGAGAUAUAUCUGGUUUUCUAAGAAAUGAAUUUAAUUCAGCUUUUGCUUACUGUUUUAUUUCAAUUUGAUGAUUUAAAUGGGGCAGAAUGUAAUUUAAUCGGGGACAAGCUCGUUUAAAGAUUUCUAUUUGUAAAUUAUUUGGCCAGGCAGGUAGGAUUAAAAUUUUCCACCCUUUGUAAUAUGUUGUAAUUAGCUUGACCUAAAAUGAUAUUUUUAUUUUUAAUAGGUUGUCUAUUGGAAAAUAAUUUUUAACUUUAUUGAUUAAGAUAUAAUGAUAGGAUUAGUAUAUUUUGGUGCAUUGAUAUUGAUUAUUGUGUGGAAAAUCAAAGGAAUUCGGCAAAGAAACCUUCACCUGUUUAUUAAAAACAUGGCCUUUUGAUUAUAAUAUAAGGUCUGGCCUGCUCUAUGAUGAAAUUAAAUGGCCGCAGUAAUUUGACUGUGCUAAGGUAGCAUAAUCAUUAGUCUCUUAAUUAGGGGCUGGAAUGAAAGGUUUGAUGAAGGGAUAACUGUCUCUGGUUUUUUUCUAGAAUUUUAUUUUUAAGUAAGAAAGCUUAAAUUUUUUUGAAAGACGAGAAGACCCUAUAGAGUUUUAUAGCUUUACUUGUUAUUUAUUUUUGUAUAUUAUAGGGGUAAUAGGUGUGUUUAUUUAGUUGGGGUGAUUAUAAAAUUUGUAUAACUUUUAUUAUUUAAUGGUCACUGAUGAGUGUUAGAUUGAUCCGGAAUUUCCGAUUAGAAGAAUAAAUUACCUUAGGGAUAACAGCGUAAUCUUUUUUUAGAGUUCUAAUCGAGAAAGGGGGUUGCGACCUCGAUGUUGGAUUAAAAUUGGCGUAGGGUGCAAAAGUUCUAGGUGCUAGGUCUGUUCGACCUUUAAAAUUUUACAUGAUCUGAGUUUAAACCGGCGUGAGCCAGGUUGGUUUCUAUCUUCAAUUUAUUGGGAAAUUUUAGUACGAAAGGACCAAGUUU
rnacentral:rRNA from 1 species